UACGUAGGGUGCAAGCGUUAUCCGGAAUUAUUGGGCGUAAAGAGCUCGUAGGCGGUUUGUCGCGUCUGCUGUGAAAACUGGGGGCUCAACCCCCAGCCUGCAGUGGGUACGGGCAGACUAGAGUGCGGUAGGGGAGAUUGGAAUUCCUGGUGUAGCAGUGGAAUGCGCAGAUAUCAGGAGGAACACCGGUGGCGAAGGCGGGUCUCUGGGCAGUAACUGACGCUGAGGAGCGAAAGCGUGGGGAGCGAACAGG
rnacentral:rRNA from 1 species